rnacentral:rRNA from 1 species
AGAGUUUGAUCCUGGCUCAGGAUGAACUCUAGCUACAGGCUUAACACAUGCAAGUCGAGGGGCAGCAUGAAAGGAACUUCGGUUCUUUUUGAUGGCGACCGGCGCACGGGUGCGUAACGCGUAUCGAACCUGCCUCAUACUCGGGGAUAGCCUUGCGAAAGUAAGAUUAAUACCCGGCGGUCUCGGAUGGCCGCAUGACUGUCCGAGUGAAGAUUUAUCGGUAUGAGAUGGCGAUGCGUCCCAUUAGCUAGUUGGUGAGGUAACGGCUCACCAAGGCAUCGAUGGGUAGGGGUUCUGAGAGGAAGGUCCCCCACAUUGGAACUGAGACACGGUCCAAACUCCUACGGGAGGCAGCAGUGAGGAAUAUUGGUCAAUGGACGAAAGUCUGAACCAGCCAAGUAGCGUGCAGGAUGACGGCCCUCUGGGUUGUAAACUGCUUUUAGUUGGGAAUAAAAAGAGGGACGUGUCCCUUAUUGUAUGUACCAUCAGAAAAAGGACCGGCUAAUUCCGUGCCAGCAGCCGCGGUAAUACGGAAGGUCCAGGCGUUAUCCGGAUUUAUUGGGUUUAAAGGGAGCGCAGGCGGCGGCGUAAGUCAGUUGUGAAAUCGUGCGGCUUAACCGUGCAAUUGCAGUUGAUACUGCGUCGCUUGAGUGCACACAGGGAUGUUGGAAUUCAUGGUGUAGCGGUGAAAUGCUUAGAUAUCAUGAAGAACUCCGAUCGCGAAGGCAUAUGUCCGGAGUGCAACUGACGCUGAAGCACGAAAGCGUGGGGAGCAAAUAGGAUUAGAUACCCUAGUAGUCCACGCCGUAAACGAUGAGAACUAGGUGUUGGAGGAAUAACUCAGUGCCGCAGUUAACGCAAUAAGUUCUCCGCCUGGGGAGUAUGCACGCAAGUGUGAAACUCAAAGGAAUUGACGGGGGCCCGCACAAGCGGUGGAGUAUGUGGUUUAAUUCGAAGCAACGCGAAGAACCUUACCAGGCCUUGACAUCCCUUGCAGAGGUAUAGAGAUAUAUCCGAGGUUAACAAGGAGACAGGUGGUGCAUGGUUGUCGUCAGCUCGUGUCGUGAGAUGUUGGGUUAAGUCCCGCAACGAGCGCAACCCUUGUGAUAUGUUACUAACAUUGAGUUGAGGACUCAUAUCAGACUGCCGGUGAUAAACCGGAGGAAGGUGGGGAUGACGUCAAAUCAUCAUGCCCCUUAUGGCCUGGGCUACACACGUACUACAAUGGCGUCUACAAAGAGCGGCAAGCCUGUGAAGGCAAGCGAAUCUCAUAAAGGACGUCUCAGUUCGGAUUGAAGUCUGCAACCCGACUUCAUGAAGCUGGAAUCGCUAGUAAUCGCGAAUCAGCAUGUCGCGGUGAAUACGUUCUCGGGCCUUGCACACACCGCCCGUCAAG